CUCACACUCACUAACAAUAGAAUAGAAAAUCAAACUUUUUCCAUCAAUUAAAAGUUGCAUCUACUCUCUCUCAAACCUUCACAAAACCACCGUCAUCUUUUUUUCCACCAAUUAACCCACAUUCAAUCCUCUACUUCCUUCCUUUUCUUACAUUCCACAAUUAAAUAUCAGAAUGAGAAAUAGGGGAGAGAGAAAGAAAAGAGAGUGAUUGAGAGAGAAAUAAAAAAUCAGAGAAAAAAAGAAAAAAAAAAAAAGGUAGAAGAAGUAAAGGAUUCCAAAGAAAUAACACACGAGGGAGUAUUGACCAAAGGAAACUAGAAGAAAAGUUGACUAAGACUAAAAUUAGGGAUUCAUCAAAAUUCCUUCUUAGGGAUUCAAGGAAUCCUAAACUAUAUUUGGCCAAUCCUCAGCACAAAUUCAGAUAUAGUGUUUUAGUGAGAAUGGAUUGCUUUACUUUGCUUUCAUGCUUGAAGGACACUACCACUCCACGAUAAUUCCAACAAUGGAGGCGAAGUUCAUCUGAAUGAUCCACUUGUUAUUGCGAAGCUUGAAGAAGCUACCAGAACUAACAGUGUAGAUGCAUAUAAACAGUACUCCAAGACCAUUCAUGAAUUGAAUAAGGCUUGCAAUUUGAGAGGGCUUCUGAAAUUUAAAGGAUUUUGUACUGGUGCCAUCAGUUAUGGGUCAAUAUCAUUGGAGGCUCACACAACAUUAGCAAUGGCAAUGAACAAAAUUGGAGGGAAAUCCAAGACAGGUGAGGGAGGUGAGCAGCCAUCUCGUAUGGAGCCUCUUGCUGAUGGCUCAAGGAAUCCCAAAAGGAGUGCCAUUAAGCAGGUCGCUAGUGGGACUGAUGAACUUCAGAUAAAGAUGGCCCAGGUUACAAAUAUUAGAAGAUGAAAAGGGGAGACAAGGGAGAAGAGGAGUGAGUAGUUGUGCUCUAGAUUAGCUGUGGGGGACUAUGGCGGAUCGGAAGCCACAUUAGAAUGAAAUAAAAUCAAACAAAGACACUAGUCCUCUCAUGUUAGAUCUUAGAUUAUGUUGAUUGAACUCGUAUCCUCCCUUGACAAAACUUUUUCUGUUGUACUUAGCCAAGAACACCAAUUGAAUGCCAAUUAUUCAUAUAAACCAAAUGAAAUGACCCAACUGAAACGUAUUCCUAGAAAAAUCUGGGAAAAUAUUGCACCUAUUGUGUUUGAUGAAAUGACCCUUCCUAGAAAAAUCAUGGAAUGUGUAUCCCUUGUCUUUGUUGCUAGUUUAACUCUUAUAUUUUCCAUUAACAUGUGGAUGGAAAACGUCCCAACACAUCUCUUCAACCAAUAUCAGUAAAUUAUUCAAUUGUUUCAAAAUAAUAUUUCAUCGUCUUCCAAUACAGAUGUUGUUCAAAAUCAAGCUUCCACAAAUUUUUGUUCUUUCUUUAACUCCUUCAAUCAAUUCUAUUACUUUUUUUAUUAUUGACACCGGUGCCACUAUUAUAUUAAUCUCUUGAACAUUUUACUAAUUUGCAGUCCGUUAAACCUUUUACAAUAAGAUGGCCUAAUGGUUAUAAAACUACUGCAUCUAUCUUUUGAGUUGUUAGCAUUUCAAAUUCAAUAGUUUUGCAAAAUGUUUAUGUUGUUUUUGAAAUUCGAAAACCUUUGAAAACAAUUUAUGUCACCGAAAAUAUUACUGGGUUGAGUCGCGGACUAGGUCGCUCUCUUUAAGACGUUUCGAGGCACUGCCCAAAAUUGUGCAAGGCAGACUAUCAACCACCAAGUCCUCAGGAUAAAACAUCACAGAUACUUUGUAUCGGAGUUCUACUGCACUGUAGAAAACCGUUCUAGAAUUACACCCUCAAUAUGGCAGUCUUACGACUGACACUGGUAAUAUGACACAAUGACCACUCGAAAGAGAAGAAAGAGAUGAAGUAGUAAGAAAGGGGAGAAGAGAUAAAAACCUCAGAGACGGAGAGCUUUUGGUGUUAUUUUCUAACUGGGGAGAACCCUAAAUAGAGGAAAUUCGCAACUGGAUUUGAGAAAUCCAUGGAUCACCAGAGCGUGUGCUCCAAGUAGUGCUCUCAGAAACGUGCGCUCCAAGACCCCAAAACGUGCGCCCCAAACUCAGGAAAUUGACUCUGACUUUUGACCGGACAACAAGGAAACGUGAGACCAAAGAUUAGGGUUUUGACCAGGCAAAACAGACGCACGAAUUCAGGGAGGAAGACUGGAUCAGAUAUGACUAGGUGGAGGGCAGUUACGUAAUUAACGUUUCAAUUAGAGAUAGAACGCAAGCAAUCAGUUAAUUAAAAAAUGAUUAAUUAAUUUUCAAGAAAAAAUAAUAAUACACCACAAAGCUGAAGCCAAAGCCGAAACGAACCGGGCCGGCCGGACGGCAGCGGCGCGCGCGCGCGCGUGUGUGGUUGUCAAUAUUGCUUGCGUUCUCCCUCCUUCACAAAAUUGGGGUGCCCCUUGGGGCCCAUCC